rnacentral:rRNA from 1 species
UACGUAGGGUCCAAGCGUUAUCCGGAAUCACUGGGCGUAAAGCGUGCGUAGGUGGUUUGUUAAGUGUGGUGUUAAAUCGUGGGGCUACAACCCUAUCGAUGCAUCGCAUACUGGCAGACUAGAGGGACAGCAGAGGCAAGUGGAAUUUGUAAGUGUAGCAGUGAAAUGCGUAGAUAUUACAAGGAACACCCAAUGGCGAAGGCAGCUUGCUGGGCUACUCCUGACACUGAGGUACGAAAGCGUGGGGAGCGAACAGG